rnacentral:sRNA from 1 species
GGAAGGUAACUAAAGGUAACGUCACAAUAAAGAUCUUCCUAAUGCCUUGGAUGAGAAACAGCUAAUUGAAAAAAUGAAUCUGUCUGCUAUUCAGGAUAGAGAAAUUUGCUGCUAUUCAAUUUCUUGCAAAGAAAAGGAUAAUAUAGAUAUCACACUUCAGUGGCUUAUUCAGCAUUCAAAAUCUAGAAGAAGCUGAAGCAUCUCCUGAAGUCUUCCAGUCCUUCUUGGCUAUAAUCCUAGAAUUAUUGUCCGUUCCUCUGAAGUAAUUCCCAGAAUACGGUCCUUCCUAAACCCCAGAAAUUGCCUUUUUCAGAGUUUAUUUCUCAUGUGCACUGCUGAAGAUGAAUAUCCCUAAUCCUUCAUAAAGAAUCAGCUAGAGUUGUCAUGAUAAAGUCAGCACACACAAAAAGGCUUCUUACACAUACCUGUCUUAAACCAUGUGUAGAGCUUUA